CCUACGGGAGGCAGCAGUGGGGAAUCUUGCGCAAUGGGCGAAAGCCUGACGCAGCGACGCCGCGUGGAGGAAGAAGGCCCUCGGGUUGUAACUCCUUUCGUGAGGGAAAAAGCCCUGAGUUUAUCGAAGGGUGAUGGUACCUCAGGAAGAAGCCACGGCUAACUCUGUGCCAGCAGCCGCGGUAAGACAGAGGUGGCAAGCGUUGUUCGGAUUUACUGGGCUUAAAGGGCGUGUAGGCGUUCUGAUAAGUUAGAGGUGGAAUCCCCGAGCUUAACUCGGGAAUUGCAUCUAAAACUGUCAGGAUUGUGUCAUACAUGGGAGGGCGGAAUUCCGGGGGUAGCGGUGAAAUGCGUAGAUAUCAGGAGGAACACCAGAGGCGAAGGCGGCUCUCUAUGCUACUCCUGACGCUGAGGCACGAAAGCUAGGGGAGCAAACGGGAUUAGAUCCCCCGGUAGU
rnacentral:rRNA from 1 species